rnacentral:rRNA from 1 species
UUCUAAGGGCGGUGAAGUCAGACCGGAAGGACUGGUGGAGCGCUUAGAAGUGAGAAUGCCGGUAUGAGUAGCGAAAGAAGGGUGAGAAUCCCUUCCACCGAAUAUCUAAGGUUUCCUGAGGAAGGCUCGUCCGCUCAGGGUUAGUCGGGACCUAAGCCGAGGCCGAUAGGCGUAGGCGAUGGACAACAGGUAGAGAUUCCUGUACCAGUGCUAAUUGUUUAACCGAUGGGGUGACACAGAAGGAUAGGGAAUCGCACGAAUGGAAAUGUGCGUCCAAGCAGUGAGUGUGAGAAGUAGGCAAAUCCGCUUCUCGCGAAGCAUGAGCUGUGAUGGGGAAGGAAAUUAAGUACGGAAGUUCCUGAUUUCACGCUGUCAAGAAAAGCCUCUAGGAAGAGUAGUACUGCCCGUACCGCAAACCGACACAGGUAGAUGAGGAGAGAAUCCUAAGGUGAGCGAGAGAACUCUCGUUAAGGAACUCGGCAAAAUGACCCCGUAACUUCGGGAGAAGGGGUGCUCUAUUAGGGUGCAAGCCCGAGAGAGCCGCAGUGAAUAGGCCCAGGCGACUGUUUAGCAAAAACACAGGUCUCUGCAAAACCGUAAGGUGACGUAUAGGGGCUGACGCCUGCCCGGUGCUGGAAGGUUAAGAGGAGUGCUUAGCUUCGGCGAAGGUACGAAUUGAAGCCCCAGUAAACGGCGGCCGUAACUAUAACGGUCCUAAGGUAGCGAAAUUC